rnacentral:Y_RNA from 1 species
GGCUGGUCCAAAGGUAGUGAGUUAUCUCAACUGAUUGUUCACAGUCAGUUACAGAUCAAACUCCUUCCCUGCUUCUCACAACUGCACUUGACUAGUCUGAA